UAAAGAGCUCCCAGUCGACCUUUGGUCGUUU
rnacentral:sRNA from 1 species